rnacentral:rRNA from 1 species
AGAGUUUGAUCCUGGCUCAGGACGAACGCUGGCGGCGUGCUUAACACAUGCAAGUCGAACGAGGUAGCAAUACCUAGUGGCGGACGGGUGAGUAACGCGUAGGUAAUCUGCCCAUCGGUGGGGGAUACCCAGUCGAAAGAUUGGUUAAUACCGCAUACGCUAGUCCUCUGUAACGGGGAUUAGGAAAGAUUUAUUGCCGA